GUUUUACUGCACUUCCGUGUGUCGCAGCGAUGUCUGUCCUCGGUAGAAAACUAACAGGGUGGAGUAGAUGCCAGUACAACGGCAGCAAAAGACGGAGCUCGUUGAGGGUGAAAGAUAGAAGAAUGGAGCUUCAUCCAACACUUGCAGCCAUUGUAGCGUCCCCUUGCCUGUUGCCUUUGUAAGCCAAGAACACAGCGCUCAGGGUUGGGCUUUUAUGGCGAGUCUUUCGUAUCUGGUGCUCCGGUUUUCGGGCUCCGCUGGUCGGACUUACGGACUAUUCUCCAAAGGCUUGACGAGGACUUUGUUGAUAUUUUUUGAUCUCGCAUGGCGGCUGAGAAUACGAUUCCCCUACUUUUACUUGGUAGCCUCAAUGGUGUUUAACGUCAGAUUACAGGUCCAUAUAGAAAUCCAUUGAGUCUUUAAUGCAAACCUUUGGACUUUAAGAAGUGAACGUUCGCCUCACAGAGAUGUGCUGCCUUUGCCGGUCAAAGGUGGUCAUGAUGUGCGGAAACGGAGAACCCGGUGAGAACUGACUCAUGGAUGUGGAUUGGAAAUAAGCCUCGUAGUUACUGAUCCAGUUUAAACUGUGAAGACUGCCCUGUUCUCUCUCACUGACAGCGACGAAACAAGAAAUUGAGAAUGAAAUCAGAUGAUUGUCUCUUGCUUGUACGCUCAUUUAUCCGACGUGUCUCAGGUCACAGCCAAAAUCUGGAUGCACUUUGCUUUCCUCUUAGAAAGGUUUAUCUUCACAACAGGAUAUAAACAAGCCUGUUUGUGGCUCUGACACUUUACGUGAGGUUGAGAUUACUUAUACAAGCGGUACAUGUUUUUGUUUUUUACAGAUAUUUGAAGGGAAUUUGAGACGCUUAGACUGGAAGUCUUGCAUGUACAGGAUAAGCAGAAAUGUUACACUGCUUUCUUCUCAUUAACAAGUUCAUCUUUUGUGAUUCUGUGUCUCAGUACGACUGGAGAAAUGAAAUCAUUAUUACUUACACUGUUGCGUAACUGUUUGAUUGGUUUACUGUCAGGAAAUUUUAAAAGGUCUUGAGCACCGAUCUCUGAUAUUUAGAGUCUGUUGCACCAAUGAAAAUAGUUGAACUUUGAAGAAAUAAAUGAAUGAGAGCAA